GAUGAACGCUGGCGGCGUGCCUAAUACAUGCAAGUCGAACGCAUAUCAGUAAUGAUAUGAGUGGCGAACGGGUGAGUAAUACAUAAGCAACCUGGCCUUUUGAGGGGGAUAACUGCUGGAAACGGCAGCUAAGACCGCAUAGGUAUAUCUAUUGCAUGAUAGAUAUAUUAAAUAUCCCACGGGAUAGCGAGAGGAUGGGCUUAUGACGCAUUAGCUAGUUGGUAAGGGUAGCGGCCUACCAAGGCGACGAUGCGUAGCCGGCCUGAGAGGGUGAACGGCCACACUGGGACUGAGACACGGCCCAGACUCCUACGGGAGGCAGCAGUAGGGAAUUUUCGGCAAUGGGCGAAAGCCUGACCGAGCAACGCCGCGUGAGGGAGGAAGUCCUUCGGGAUGUAAACCUCUGUUAUAAAGGAAGAACGGUAACUGCAGGGAAUGGCAGUUAAGUGACGGUACUUUAUGAGGAAGCCACGGCUAACUACGUGCCAGCAGCCGCGGUAAUACGUAGGUGGCGAGCGUUAUCCGGAAUUAUUGGGCGUAAAGAGGGAGCAGGCUGCUGAACAGGUCUGUGGUGAAAGCCCGAAGCUAAACUUCGGUAAGCCAUGGAAACCGGACAGCUAGAGUGCGUCAGAGGAACGUGGAAUUCCAUGUGUAGCGGUGAAAUGCGUAGAUAUAUGGAGGAACACCAGUGGCGAAGGCGACGUUCUGGGGCGCAACUGACGCUCAUUCCCGAAAGCGUGGGGAGCAAAUAGGAUUAGAUACCCUAGUAGUCCACGCCGUAAACGAUGAGUACUAAGUGUUGGGGGUCAGACCUCAGUGCUGCAGUUAACGCAAUAAGUACUCCGCCUGAGUAGUACGUUCGCAAGAAUGAAACUCAAAGGAAUUGACGGGGGCCCGCACAAGCGGUGGAGCAUGUGGUUUAAUUCGAAGCAACGCGAAGAACCUUACCAGGUCUUGACAUACCUUUAAAGGCCCUAGAGAUAGGGAGAUAGCUAUAGAGGAUACAGGUGGUGCAUGGUUGUCGUCAGCUCGUGUCGUGAGAUGUUGGGUUAAGUCCCGCAACGAGCGCAACCCCUGUUGCCAGUUGCCAGCAAGAGAGAUGGGGACUCUGGCGAGACUGCCUCUGCAAGGAGGAGGAAGGCGGGGAUGACGUCAAAUCAUCAUGCCCCUUAUGACCUGGGCUACACACGUGCUACAAUGGACGGAUCAGAGGGAGGCGAAGCCGCGAGGUGGAGCGAAACCCAGAAACCCGUUCACAGUUCGGACUGCAGUCUGCAACUCGACUGCACGAAGCUGGAAUCGCUAGUAAUCGCGAAUCAGAAUGUCGCGGUGAAUACGUUCUCGGGCCUUGUACACACCGCCCGUCACACCAUGAGAGUUGGUAACACCCGAAGCCGGUGGCCCAACCGCAAGGAGGGAGCUGUCUAAGGUGGGACUGAUGAUUGGGGUGAAGUCGUAACAAGGUAUCCCUACGGGAACGUGGGGAUGGAUCACCUCCUUUCUAGGGAGAAAAGAGCAGGCAUGUUUCUGAUCAGUUUUGAGUGUAAAGGCACUCAGGAGAGAACAUUGAAAACUGAACAGCAAGAAAGAAAAAAACUUUUGAAGCAAAGAUGAAGAUGAAGAGAUCAAAAAGAGAGAAGAAGGUUAAUUCAUCUAGUCGGGAAAAAAAGUAAGACAAAAAACGAGAAGAAAAGAGAACUCACAAACAUUUUAGGUCAAGAAAGAAAGAGCGUAUGGCGAAUGCCUAGACACCAGGAGGCGAAGAAGGACGCAGCAAACGGCGAAACGCAUCGGUUAGCGGUAAGCACGCAGAGAUCCGGUGAUAUCCGAAUGGGGGAACCCACAUGAGCGAUCAUGUAUCCCAUGAUGAAAAGAUAGUCAUGGAGAGGCGAGACGCAGGGAACUGAAACAUCUAAGUACCUGCAGGAGAGGAAAGAAAAUCGAUUCCGUAAGUAGUGGCGAGCGAAAGCGGAGGAGCCCAAACCGAAGUAAAUUCGGGGUAAUAGGAGCUGCGACAAAGAAGAGUUUUAGAUGAUAGCCGAACUGCAAGGGAAGGCAGUCCGAAGAGGGUGAUAGACCCGUAGGCGAAAUCAAAUAAAGCAUUCGAGCAGAGAUCCUGAGUACGACGGGGCACGUGGAAUCCUGUCGGAAGUAUCGGGGACCAUCCCGAAAGGCUAAAUACUGCCUGGUGAUCGAUAGUGAACC
rnacentral:rRNA from 1 species